rnacentral:misc_RNA from 1 species
UCGCAAUAAUGAAGCCGGUACUGACUGGGAACCUCCAAUUGGAUUAGGAGGUCCUGUUGGAACCAUUUUUUACCAAGAAGUACACAAUCUACUAACACUUGAUCAAAUAUAGAAACUUUCUUAAAGAUGGCAUAAAAGCCUCAAGUGAGUAGAGAAAACUCAUAAAAAAAUGGCAUCAAAUCCCCCACUAAGCUGAAGAAACUUCAAUUGCUCCGAAGAAAGCACUAGGCAGAGAACCAAGCAAAACCAAUAAGGUCAUUCAAUUUCAGACUUCUUUCCGCUCAAGUAAAUUUCUUUUGCUGCAUCAUCCACCAGAAGACAAUUUCAACACCGACCCACCGAAGAUUGAGUAGAUUCCUUACACGGAACUAGAAGCA